AGCGAACGCUGGCGGCGUGCUUAACACAUGCAAGUCGAGCGAAGGUGGUUUCAAGGGUAACCUUGAGAUACACUUAGCGGCGGACGGGUGAGUAAUACGUGGAUAACUUACCGUCUAGGCCCUGGGAUAACCCCGGGAAACUGGGGCUAAUACCUGAUAAGACCACAUUGUCUACGGACAAAGGGGUAAAGGUGGCUGUGCAAACAGCUAUCGCCAAAAGNUAGGUUCACGUCCCAUCAGGCAGUGGUGAGGUAAUGGCUCACCAAACC
rnacentral:rRNA from 1 species